GCGAGUGUAGUUUAGUGGUAAAACUACAGCCUUCCAAGCUGUUGUCGCGAGUUCGAUUCUCGUCACCCGCU
rnacentral:tRNA from 1 species